AUUGAACGCUGGCGGCAGGCCUAACACAUGCAAGUCGAACGGUAACAGGAAACAGCUUGCUGUUUCGCUGACGAGUGGCGGACGGGUGAGUAAUGUCUGGGAAACUGCCUGAUGGAGGGGGAUAACUACUGGAAACGGUAGCUAAUACCGCAUAACGUCGCAAGACCAAAGAGGGGGACCUUCGGGCCUCUUGCCAUCGGAUGUGCCCAGAUGGGAUUGGCUUGUUGGUGGGGUAACGGCUCACCAAGGCGACGAUCCCUAGCUGGUCUGAGAGGAUGACCAGCCACACUGGAACUGAGAAACGAUCCAGACUCCUACGGGAGGCAGCAGUGGGGAAUAUUGCACAAUGGGCGCAAGCCUGAUGCAGCCAUGCCGCGUGUAUGAAGAAGGCCUUCGGGUUGUAAAGUACUUUCAGCGGGGAGGAAGGGAGUAAAGUUAAUACCUUUACUCAUUGACGUUACCCGCAGAAGAAGCACCGGCUAACUCCGUGCCAGCCGCCGCUGUAA
rnacentral:rRNA from 1 species